UACGAAGGGGGCUAGCGUUGCUCGGAAUGACUGGGCGUAAAGGGCGCGUAGGCGGCUUGCACAGUCAGGCGUGAAAUUCCUGGGCUCAACCUGGGGACUGCGCUUGAGACGUGUGGGCUUGAGUGGGGAAGAGGGUCGUGGAAUUCCCAGUGUAGAGGUGAAAUUCGUAGAUAUUAGGAAGAACACCGGUGGCGAAGGCGGCCAUCUGGCUCGGUACUGACGCUCAGGCGCGAAAGCGUGGGGAGCAAACAGG
rnacentral:rRNA from 1 species